AUUGAACGCUGGCGGCAGGCUUAACACAUGCAAGUCGAGCGCGCGGCGCACGGGUGAGUAAUGUCUGGGAAACUGCCUGAUGGAGGGGGAUAACUCCUGGAACCGGUAGCUAAUCCCGCAUACCAUCAGAUGUGCCCAGAUGGGAUUGGCUCGUAGGUGGGGUAAUGGCUCACCUAGGCGACGCUCCCUAGCUGGUCUGAGAGGAUGACCGGCAACACUGGAACUGAGACACGGUCCAGACUCGUACGGGAGGCGGCAGUGGGGAAUAUUGCACAAGGGGCGCAAGCCUGAUGCAGCAAUGCCGCGUGUGUGAAGAAGGCCUUCGGGUUGUAAAGCACUUUCAGCGAGGAGGCGUUACUCGCAGAAGAAGCACCGGCUAACUCCGUGCCAGCAGCCGCGGUAAUUC
rnacentral:rRNA from 1 species